CACGUAGGGCGCAAGCGUUGUCCGGAAUUAUUGGGCGUAAAGAGCUCGUAGGCGGUCUGUUGCGUCCGCUGUGAAAACUCGGGGCUUAACCCCGAGCCUGCAGUGGAUACGGGCAGACUAGAGGUAGGUAGGGGAGAAUGGAAUUCCCGGUGUAGCGGUGAAAUGCGCAGGUAUCGGGAGGAACACCGGUGGCGAAGGCGGUUCUCUGGGCCUUACCUGACGCUGAGGCGCGAAAGCGUGGGGAGCGAACAGG
rnacentral:rRNA from 1 species